rnacentral:tRNA from 1 species
UCCUCAGUAGCUCAGCUGGUUAGAGCACCUGACUGUUAAUCAGGGGGUCACUGGUUCAAGUCCAGUCUGAGGAG